UACGUAGGGGGCGAGCGUUACCCGGAAUCACUGGGCGUAAAGCGUGCGCAGGCGGCCCGUUAAGACAGGUGUGAAAUCCCUGGGCUCAACCUAGGAAUUGCGCUUGUGACUGGCGGGCUCGAGUACGGUAGAGGGGGGUGGAAUUCCUGGUGUAGCAGUGAAAUGCGUAGAGAUCAGGAGGAACACCGAUGGCGAAGGCAGCCCCCUGGGCCUGUACUGACGCUCAUGCACGAAAGCGUGGGGAGCAAACAGG
rnacentral:rRNA from 1 species